GACGAACGCUGGCGGCGUGCUUAACACAUGCAAGUCGAACGGAAAGGCCCUGCUUUUGUGGGGUGCUCGAGUGGCGAACGGGUGAGUAACACGUGAGUAACCUGCCCUUGACUUUGGGAUAACUUCAGGAAACUGGGGCUAAUACCGGAUAGGAGCUCCUGCUGCAUGGUGGGGGUUGGAAAGUUUCGGCGGUUGGGGAUGGACUCGCGGCUUAUCAGCUUGUUGGUGGGGUAGUGGCUUACCAAGGCUUUGACGGGUAGCCGGCCUGAGAGGGUGACCGGCCACAUUGGGACUGAGAUACGGCCCAGACUCCUACGGGAGGCAGCAGUGGGGAAUAUUGCACAAUGGGCGGAUGCCGGAUGCAGCAACGCCGCGUGCGGGAUGACGGCCUUCGGGUUGUAAACCGCUUUCGCCUGUGACGAAGCGUGAGUGACGGUAAUGGGUAAAGAAGCACCGGCUAACUACGU
rnacentral:rRNA from 1 species